AAGUGCCGCCGCGGUAAUGUCGGUGCCCAGCCAGUACAUUGCUGCCACACCGACUACAUUGCUGCUUUACUACGGGGCAAUGACUCAAUCCUCGUAAUCAAAUCACAACAUUGGCGGUCUCUUUCGUUCUGUAUGGGGAAAAAAAGGUGCGAAGUAUAUUUUUAAAAGUAAAGCGAGUGAUGCUGGUGGUAGCCCCGUUGAGCGAGGCAGUAGGUGGUUUAGCUUGUUACCUCAACUUGGCUCAGUUCGCGUCCCGCUAUUCCGUCGGUCGGUUGUGUGUAUCGUUCGUUGAAAUUAUUGCUACGACCUUUUUAAACUUAGUGCUUGUUACAUCGACAUUUAUUCGUGUUAUCGGAGGCAUACCUAGCUCUUCAAAAUGAGGGGUUUGAAAGCCCUCACCCUGCUACACCUGGUGUACUUCUGUGGAUGUAUGGACCAGCUCCACAUAGUAUAUGAGUGGAAGCAGAUUGACUACGAGUUCCCCACUCCUGAGGCCAGGCAACAGGCUCUGGAGGCCAAGACCUUCAUCCCAGAGAAUAAUAUUCCCAUGGGUCUGGAGAUCUAUGAAGACAGGCUGUUCAUCACUGUGCCUCGAUGGAAGUCCGGAGUACCAGCCAGUUUGAAUUACAUCAAUUUGAAAGAUAAUUCAACAACAUCACCAAAACUGAUCCCGUACCCAAGUUGGGCAGCGCACUCUAUCGGCGAGGAUGGCAAACCUCCAGAGAUCAUCUCCCCAUUCCGCGUAAGAGCUGACCGCUGCGGACGUCUUUGGGUCCUCGACAAUGGAAAAAUGGGCAACCUGGAGAAGAACGUAACGAAAUACCCACCGUCCAUCAUUGUUUACGACUUGAAAACUGAUAACUUAUUGAGAAAAUACGUAUUUCCUGAAGACCAGGUGAAAGAAGACUCAGGUUUCGCCAAUAUAGCUGUUGAAGAUAUCGAUUGCGAGAAUACUUACGCGUACGCCGGGGAUUUGGGCAAACCUGCCAUUGUAGUCUACUCCUGGGAGAAGAACGAGUCUUGGAGGAUCACCCACAACUACUUCCACCCUGAUCCCUUAGCUUGUGACUUUACCGUCAAGGGAUUAAACUUCAGCUGGACUGACGGGUUGUUCGGUCUCGGCCUCUCUGCUCCUAAUUCCGAGAACUACAGCACACUUUACUUCCACCCGAUGGCUAGCUACGAUGAAUUCUCCGUGUCAACCAAGUUUCUGAGGAACAAGACGCUUGCUGAUAAUAACUUUAGUGCUUUCAAUGUUUUGGGAAACCGAGGGCCGAAUGCUCAGUCCAGCGUCUCUUUUGUUGACCAGAAAACUGGAGUCUUAUUCUAUUCAUUGGUAAACCUGAACGCUGUUGCAUGCUGGAAGACUUCCAACAAGGAAUACUUGAUGAAGAAUCAAGGGAGGAUCUACAUGAACGAGGAGACCAUGGUGUACCCGACUGACAUUAAAGUCGAUUACAACGACAACUUGUGGAUUCUGUCGAACAAGAUGCCGAUUUGGAUGUACGACAAACUAGACGCUAAUGAAGUGAACUUUAGGAUCUUUUCGGCUCCUGUAGUUGACGCGAUUAGUCAUACGGCUUGCGAUAUUACGCCGAGAUCCGACAUUUUGGACAAAUUCGUGAAUAAGAUUAAGAAUGCGAGUAACUCGAUCGUCGCAAAGAUUAAGCCGAGUUCUGGUAAUGUAGCGUAUAAUCCUCUGGCAGUAGUGAGCAUACUGGUGUUCAGUUGGAUCAUUACCUUGGCCCUGUAGACUGUAUCUGAUACUAAGUAAUGUCAGUGUCUACAGUUGCGUUGCUUUCACGAACAAGUUUCGUUUUGUACGUCAGUUAUAGACUUAUAAAGGGCACUAUCUGUAUCGUCCUCGCGUGGGAGAGGAGGAUGACAUAAUUUAAGAUAUUUAAGGACUUAAUAUAAGGUUGUGAAACAAAGAUGAUAACUGGCGUCCAGAAUGUUAGAGUGCUUGUUGCUUUAUGUGUAGUAACAGGGAGUGACCCAGUUCGUAUGCUAGUCGGAAGCGUUAGUAUUAUAGCUUAUUUAUUAGUAAGGUGCCUUGUUUCUAUUACAAGUUUAAACAUACAUUCCAAAAGAUUUGACUAUGUAUUUGCUUGCAUUGCAUGCGAGGCAGCAAAGCUGUUUAAUAAUGAAAAUAUUUCUAUAAGUUUAGAGGGACCGCCAUCGCUGGUUGUCUGAUGUGCAUAUUAAUUUGUGUACUUAUCAGCUAUUGUAGCGACCUCUGUAUUCUUCUAAUUUAUAUCUUACGAUAAUAUGCUCUAUCUACAUAUAAUGUGUCUUACAUAUAAUAAAAAGUAAGUUUUUGACUUUAAUUUGUAGCGCUGUUUUAUAAUAUUCUAUUUAAUAUUUUUUGUCUACAAGUGUCUGUAGUAUAACUAUACCUAAUACACUUUGUUUCUUUAAUGUUUUACAAAUUUACGUAGUUAUUUCUUUAUGAUUUAAAGCACGGAGCUUAGGUUUUUUUUUAUACCUACCUUUCAGUUUUCAGUUCUUUGAUUUUUAAACAUUUAUUUUUAGUAUUUUGACAAAGAAAACUCUAGUUUUUAAGAUCGAUUAUUGCUGCUCUUUGCAAUUUUAGAUUUACGCAUCCAUUUCUGUUUUUGUAUGUGAGUAAUUUGUGUCGGUUUUUGUACAAAGGAACUAAAGCUGUGAUGGACAGCGAAAUAGUAACGAGGGUGUUACCUAGCGCUUUAUUUAUUGUGAUCGCAUAUCAUUUCGUGUUUCUUACUUAUCUGUGACGAACAUAGGUACUUGACCUAUCUAUUAAUUGAUUCAUUUGUAAUUAAACAACAAUAUAGACUUACAGUACUACUACUAUUGUACACAUUAAAUAAAGAACACAUCAAGUGGUCGAAUGGUGUACUUAUCUAAAUAUAAUACGAGGUCUCACGGGUCAGAUUAGAUCUCGAGUCAAUUUCUAUGUUCACGACUAAGCUCUGCACCACAGAAAUAUAAAAAACAGACCUCUUACCCGUUUCAGGACUGAAGGUUUGUGCCCUAUAUUAUUUGAACUAAUGUAUGUACACACAGAAAAGCCUUUUUCAUUUUAUUUACUUGUGGCCAUAAUCAAAUCAAGUUUGUUACAACACAUUCCAGGAUAAGUAAGAAAUGACGAGUUUUAUUAAGAUUUGUACUUAGUUUGUGCCUUUACGUGAUAUCACAUAAGCUAAUAUAGAAUAGUGCACGAACCUUACGUGUGUUUGUAAAUAUUAACUUUAAUAAAAAAUGCUAUAAGCUUUAA